rnacentral:rRNA from 1 species
GACGAACGCUGGCGGCGUGCUUAACACAUGCAAGUCGAGCGAUGAAGCUCCUUCGGGAGCGGAUUAGCGGCGGACGGGUGAGUAACACGUGGGUAACCUGCCUCAUAGAGGGGAAUAGCCUUUCGAAAGGAAGAUUAAUACCGCAUAAGAUUGUAGUUUCGCAUGAAACAGCAAUUAAAGGAGUAAUCCGCUAUGAGAUGGACCCGCGUCGCAUUAGCUAGUUGGUGAGGUAACGGCUCACCAAGGCGACGAUGCGUAGCCGACCUGAGAGGGUGAUCGGCCACAUUGGGACUGAGACACGGCCCAGACUCCUACGGGUGGCAG